rnacentral:lncRNA from 1 species
GGAGGCGAGAAUGUAGCGAGUACUAGUCGGGGUAUGGAAUGAUGGUUCUAGAAGUUUUUUUUAGUAGUCCUCACCAUUUUUUAUAAAAUAAUGUAUCAAUAAUUGUAAUGAGGACUUAUUUGGGUGUGGAUAUUGUCUAGAAGAUAAUAUUUGUAUUUAAACCCAUAGUUUAAGUGUUGUCGUAUUUUGCACGACAAUUGUAUUAAUAAAGUUG